rnacentral:rRNA from 1 species
GAUGAACGCUGGCGGCGUGCUUAACACAUGCAAGUCGAACGGAAAGGCUCCUGCUUGCAGGGGUACUCGAGUGGCGAACGGGUGAGUAACACGUGGGUGAUCUGCCCUGCACUUCGGGAUAAGCCUGGGAAACUGGGUCUAAUACCGGAUAGGACUAUGGUUUGGAUGCCAUUGUGGAAAGUUUUUUCGGUGUGGGAUGAGCUCGCGGCCUAUCAGCUUGUUGGUGGGGUAAUGGCCUACCAAGGCGUCGACGGGUAGCCGGCCUGAGAGGGUGUACGGCCACAUUGGGACUGAGAUACGGCCCAGACUCCUACGGGAGGCAGCAGUGGGGAAUAUUGCACAAUGGGCGCAAGCCUGAUGCAGCGACGCCGCGUGGGGGAUGACGGCCUUCGGGUUGUAAACUCCUUUCGCUAGGGACGAAGCGCAAGUGACGGUACCUGGAGAAGAAGCACCGGCUAACUACGUG